UACGUAGGGUGCGAGCGUUAAUCGGAAUUACUGGGCGUAAAGCGUGCGCAGGCGGUUCGUUAAGUUCGUUGUGAAAGCCCCGGGCUCAACCUGGGAACUGCAAUGGAAACUGGCGGGCUUGAGGCCGGGAGGGGGUAGCGGAAUUCCCAGUGUAGCGGUGAAAUUCGUAGAUAUUAGGAAGAACACCAGUGGCGAAGGCGGCUCACUGGCCCGGUACUGACGCUGAGGCGCGAAAGCGUGGGGAGCAAACAGG
rnacentral:rRNA from 1 species